UACGGAGGAUGCAAGCGUUAUCCGGAAUGAUUGGGCGUAAAGCGUCCGCAGGUGGCUAUGUAAGUCUGCUGUUAAAGAGUGAGGCUCAACCUCAUAAGAGCAGUGGAAACUACAUAGCUAGAGUGCGUUCGGGGCAGAGGGAAUUCCUGGUGUAGCGGUGAAAUGCGUAGAUAUCGCUUGGAACGCCAACGGUGAAAACAGCUCGCUGGGGGUGUGCUGACGCUGAGACACGAAAGCCAGGGGAGCGAACGGG
rnacentral:rRNA from 1 species